GACGUUUCCACAUUGGGGGAAUGCUUCCUGUUGACAUUAUAAAAUUAAUAAAUGAAAGAUAGUAUUGAAGAGCGCUAUCACUCAGAUGGGAUAUAAAAGAGUAUGGGAUGCCAUCAAAUCCAGGAGUAGAAUCUACAGUAUUCUGGACAACACCUUUUUAAUUCGUCAAUGUGAAAUGGAAAUAAGUCAUCAGCGGCGGUACAAAGAAUUUUUGCUAAAGCUUCAGCACACAUCUGUUCCUUGCCAUUGGUGACCUCGGGAAGAGAAGAAAGCUGACUGUCUACCUUUUUACUAAAUUUCGUCCAGAGUUCACUGCAUUUAUUUGGCAGUUUAUAUUUUAAAAGAGGCUUUUUUGGUGGCACAUUGCUGUAUGGAGAAGGAAAUGUGAUUUUAAUUGGGAAAUGAUCACUGCCAAAUGAAGAGGAUAAAGUAGACCAAGUAAGAAAAGAUGCAAAGUUUGGGGUGCAAAUAGAUAGAUCUAAUGCACUCUGAUUGGUGUUGUUAGGAGUGUUACGACGAGUAGGUGUGCCUGAAUUUAAUACACAUAGGUUGUGCAUAUCUAAUAUCUCCAGAAGCUCUUCACCAUACUGAUUAGAUAUAGAGCUACCCCAAGAUUGAUGAUGACAAUUGAAAUCUCCCAACAACAGGAAAUGUUGGGGAAGAAAGGAUAUAAGGUUAUUAAUUUCAUGAAGUAAAGGAAGUGAAGGGUGAGAGAUAUAAACAGAAACAAGACAAAUGUUAUUGACAUUUAGAGCCACUAUAGAUAUUUCAUCGCUAUGUGAAGGAAGAGAAAUUACUGAAUAUGGCACUGAGUCUUUAAUGAGUAUGGCAGCACCACCAUACCCAUCUUGUCUAUCUUCUCUGAUUAUACUAUAGCCAUUAAUUUUGAAGGUAUAGUUUGGUUUGAGCCAUGUCUCAGAAAGAGCAAAAGCCCAUGGCUCAUAUUUAUUAAUUAAAUAAAUUAAUUCACUUUUUUUAUUGGUUAUACUGCGGCAAUUCCAUUGUAUUAUUAGAUUCAGAUUGUCCAUUUUGGGAAAGAGAUGAGGAAAGACUAUUUAAAAGAGGAGCAACGUUGGACGGUGAUAAAUUAAAAUGUGUAAUAAUAGUAAUCAAUGCUGAAAUAAGUUCUUUUACAUUAAACUGUUUAGACUGGGGA